CCCUUAGAUGUUCUGGGCCGCACGCGCGCUACACUGAUGAAUGCAACGAGCUCUACCCUUGACCGAAAGGCCCGGGUAAACUUGUGAAACUUCAUCGUGAUGGGGAUAGAUUAUUGCAAUUAUUAAUCUUCAACGAGGAAUUCCUAGUAAGCGCGAGUCAUCAGCUCGCGUUGAUUACGUCCCUGCCCUUUGUACACACCGCCCGUCGCUCCUACCGAUUGAAUGGUCCGGUGAAAUCUUCGGAUUGCUGACCAAGAUCCAGCAAUGGAGCUUGGUUGCGAGAAGUUGAUUAAACCUUAUUAUUUAGAGGAAGGUGAAGUCGUAACA
rnacentral:rRNA from 1 species